rnacentral:rRNA from 1 species
GACGAACGCUGGCGGCGUGCCUAAUACAUGCAAGUCGAGCGAAGCGGGGACGGGGGAGUAACACGUGGAUAACCACCUAUAAGACAGGGAUAACUUCGGGAAACAGGAGCUAAACAGGAUACUUAUAGAUGGAUCCGCGCUGCAUUAGCUAGUUGGUAAGGUAACGGCUAACAAAGGAAACGAUGCAUAGCCGACCUGAGAGGGUGAGCUGACCCACGGGAACUGCGACACGGUCCAGCAUCCUACGAGAGGCAGCAGUAGGGAAUCUUCCGCAAUGGGCGAAAGCCGGACGGGGCAACGCCGCGUGAGUGAAUAAGGUUUUCGGAUCGUAAAGCUCUGUUGUUAAGGAAGCGGUACUUAACCAGAAAGGGACGGCUAACUACGUGCCAGCAGCCGCGGUAAUAC